UACGUAGGGUGCAAGCGUUAAUCGGAAUUACUGGGCGUAAAGCGUGCGCAGGCGGUUAUGUAAGACAGAUGUGAAAUGCCCGGGCUUAACCUGGGAACUGCAUUUGUGACUGCAUGGCUAGAGUUUGGCAGAGGGGGGUAGAAUUCCACGUGUAGCAGUGAAAUGCGUAGAUAUGUGGAGGAACACCGAUGGCGAAGGCAGCCCCCUGGGAUAACACUGACGCUCAUGCACGAAAGCGUGGGGAGCAAACAGG
rnacentral:rRNA from 1 species